ACGUAGGGGGCAAGCGUUAUCCGGAUUUACUGGGUGUAAAGGGAGCGCAGACGGCGAUGCAAGUCUGGAGUGAAAGCCCAGGGCUCAACCCUGGGACUGCUUUGGAAACUGUAUGGCUAGAGUGCUGGAGAGGCAAGCGGAAUUCCUAGUGUAGCGGUGAAAUGCGUAGAUAUUAGGAAGAACACCAGUGGCGAAGGCGGCUUGCUGGACAGUAACUGACGUUCAGGCUCGAAAGCGUGGGGAGCAAACAG
rnacentral:rRNA from 1 species